UAAGUAGGUAGUUAACAUACACAAUUUUGGUCCAUACACAAUAGACGCACAAGUGAAUUGCAAAUGUGGUGCUGACGAUCCAUGUGUUGUCUAUGCCAAGGUAAAUAACCGUGGUUUCUUUCCCACCCCGAUCGUCAAAAGGUGAUAAUGGCCAGGCUGCAAACCAUACUGGCGAAGACAAUUUUAUAAAAAUACGCAGUCGGUUCCGUAGUCACCAGUGGGUAGCUGUGUUACAAGUCGCUUAAAAUAAGCAGCACAAGCCUAUAGGCUACGUUGUCGUUUUUUCACAUUUCUUUCCAUGGGUAUGGUCUCUCCUAACGUUGCCAUGACACUAUUCGUCUGGCUGCCCCCACUGGAGUACGUGGGUUUACCGGCUUCUUUAACGCAGUCCCCGCGACCUAACCCCUAUUUCCAAGGCACACCCAGAAGGCUUAACCCGGUCCCAGUCCCUACAAACCAGGCCACCUCUAUGCGACGAAGGUCCCAACGGGUCGCCGACCGAACUUCGGAUAGCUCGCAGGAUCAACUUCUUCCCUAUGGACGUUCCGCACUCUCGGUUGGAAUGGUUUUGGAAAACGAGACUAGGCCUACUGCGAGCCCACCGCGGUAUCGUCGGCGAAGCGUUGGUAGAUGGAACAACAGGACCAUGUCACGUCCAUCUCCGCUCACAUACGGAAGGCCAAUAGCAGAUUCAAGGCAGGGACAACCCAGCUCACCUGCCGGUCCCUAUGUCCCACCGGGACAAUCGGAGGACACGCCGGAACAUCAACCAACUUCGACUCAUGACGAGCUGGCACUUGGCACACACUGAUCCCUGCCUAUAUCUAACGCCUUUUUCUGGCAGUUGAAAAAACCUGAAAAAUAUUCCAAAGUGGACUAUUAAAAACCCCAGUCACUGGACAGAAUCUUUGGCCAACCUGGAAUAUCUAUAACAUUCGGUGGACGCAAACCCCUAUUCAACUCCCAGUAAUCCACACUCAAAAAGGAACUCAAAUGCUAAUUUAGUUGUAUGUCAUCAAUUGUGUAGAGAACAUCAUUCGUAUAACGUUGUACAUCAUAAAACUGUAUGUUAAAGCAAUGGAUUGAGUGAGUGAGUGAGUGUGUUGAAAUAGAAAAAAAUGAAAUGUUUUAAAAUGUCCGUUAGGGGGCACAUGUACGAAAGAAGAGAAUAAAGAACGUCACAUUUGAAACUUCUCAGACAA